rnacentral:ncRNA from 28 species
AGGAAUAGAAGUAGAAAAAUAUCGGUCGCACACGCACCAAUUCGUUGGUAUCUGAGAGGUGGGGAAGGGCCGUCCCACCUAUUCCU